UAUCCACCUCGGGACGGUACGAAUGCAACAGGAGGAUCCCAAAAUCACCGCGAUGUCGCCUGUCCUCAACCCGCUAGGUUUAUAUAGUCAUCAGAGGGUGGACAGUCACGGCUGACACGAGAAGCUUCUAUGGAAAUAAUAAUGGAAUAGCGCUACGGAAUCUGCGAGGGCUAUACCUCCUAUGACAUAAAAUUUAGAUGUUGCAUGGGCUCCAGAGCAUUUUAAGUCCUGUCUCCGAAGAUAUCAUCAACCAAAUGUUAGGCCACACAAAUCCCGAUGGCCCAAUUUGGAGAAUAUAGUGGAUGAAUGGAGUCUUCCA